rnacentral:rRNA from 1 species
UACGUAGGGGGCGAGCGUUGUCCGGAUUUACUGGGCGUAAAGCGCGUGUAGGCGGCGGCUUAAGUCGGGUGUGAAAGCCCGGGGCUCAACCCCGGGAUGCCGCUCGAGACUGGGUCGCUUGAGGACGGGAAGAGGGGCGUGGAAUUCCUGGUGUAGCGGUGAAAUGCGUAGAGAUCAGGAGGAACACCCCGUGGCGAAGGCGGCGCCCUGGUCCGUUUCUGACGCUGAGACGCGAAAGCGCGGGGAGCGAACGGG